rnacentral:rRNA from 1 species
UACGGGGGGGGCAAGCGUUGUUCGGAAUUACUGGGCGUAAAGGGCUCGUAGGCGGCCAACUAAGUCAGACGUGAAAUCCCUCGGCUUAACCGGGGAACUGCGUCUGAUACUGGAUGGCUAGAGGUUGGGAGAGGGAUGCGGAAUUCCAGGUGUAGCGGUGAAAUGCGUAGAUAUCUGGAGGGACACCGGUGGCGAAGGCGGCAUCCUGGACCAAUUCUGACGCUGAGGAGCGAAAGCCAGGGGAGCAAACGGG